GUGAGCAAGCACCGGGUACGUGGACCGUGGCAGCCGAGGAGCCAGCGUGUGUCCAGUGGGGUUCUACGGGCCGAUGUGUAAGCGAAGAGUGUGAAGAGCGCCGAGCACGGGGACCAGAUGGACUCGAAGGAGAGUGCGAGAGUAUGUGUGUGUGUGUGUGUGUGUGUAGAGAGAACAGAGACUCGAAGACUGUUGUUGUGGUAUAGAGUUGACUGUAUGUGCAGACCUCUGUAACUGAUUUAAUGUAACGUGAAUAAAUCAGGGUUGACAAUCCAGGGUAGCAAUACCAACCCACGUUACAAUAUUAAA